rnacentral:rRNA from 1 species
GAUGAACGCUGGCGGCGUGCCUAAUACAUGCAAGUCGAGCGGUAAGGCUUUCACAGAUUAUUUAACCAGAUAAGUUCUUCGGAAAAACUGUUUGCAGCGAUGAUUCCCGGCUAGGGAAUCAGAGUUGAAUAAUGCGUGAAAGUACACGAGCGGCGGACGGCUGAGUAACACGUAGGAACGUACCCCAAAGUGAGGGAUAAGCACCGGAAACGGUGUCUAAUACCGCAUGUGAUCUUCGGAUUAAAGCUUCGGCGGCUUUGGGUAACGGGCCUGCGCAUGAUUAGCUUGUUGGUGAGGUAAAAGACUCACCAAGGCGGACAAUACAUUAAGUACUGGUCGUUGAGAGGGUAGG